rnacentral:rRNA from 1 species
AUUGAACGCUGGCGGCAUGCCUUACACAUGCAAGUCGAACGGAUUUGAGGGGCUUGCUCCUCAAGUUAGUGGCGAACGGGUGAGUAAAGCAUCGGAACGUCCCCAGUAGUGGGGGAUAACGUGGCGAAAGUUACGCUAAUACCGCAUACGAUCUGAGGGUGCAAGCAGUGGAUCGCAAGACCUUGCGCCAUUGGAGCGGCCGAUGUCGGAUCAGCUAGUUGGUAGGGUAAAAGCCUACCAAGGCGACGAUCCGUAGCUGGUCUGAGAGGACGACCAGCCACACUGGGACGGAGACACGGCCCAGACUCCUACGGGAGGCAGCAGUGGGGAAUUUUGGACAAUGGGCGAAAGCCUGACUCAGCCAUGCCGCGUGAGUGAAGAAGGCCUUCGGGUUGUAAAGCUCUUUCGGACGGAAAGAAAUUGCUCCGGGUAAUACGUGGGGUAGAUGACGGUACCGUAAGAAAAAGCACCGGCUAACUACGUGCCAGCAGCCGCCGUAAGAC